UACAGAGGUCUCAAGCGUUGUUCGGAUUCAUUGGGCGUAAAGAGCGUGUAGGCGGUUCGGUAAGUCGGCUGUGAAAGUCCAGGGCUCAACCCUGGGAUGCCGGUCGAUACUGCCGGACUAGAGUUCGGAAGAGGCGAGUGGAAUUCCCGGUGUAGCGGUGAAAUGCGCAGAUAUCAGGAAGAACACCAAUGGCGAAAGCAGCUCUCUGGGACGGUACUGACGCUGAGACGCGAAAGCGUGGGGAGCGAACAGG
rnacentral:rRNA from 1 species